CCUACGGGAGGCUGCAGUGGGGAAUAUUGGACAAUGGGGGCAACCCUGAUCCAGCAAUGCCGCGUGUGUGAAGAAGGCCUUCGGGUUGUAAAGCACUUUCGAUGGGGAAAAACAAGUUCGACCUAAUACGUCGGACCCUGAUGGUACCCAGAGAAGAAGCACCGGCUAACUCUGUGCCAGCAGCCGCGGUAAUACAGAGGGUGCAAGCGUUAAUCGGAAUUACUGGGCGUAAAGCGUGCGUAGGUGGUUUGUUAAGUCAGGCGUGAAAUCCCUGGGCUCAACCUGGGAACUGCGUUUGAUACUGGCAGACUCGAGUGUGGUAGAGGGUAGUGGAAUUCCGCAUGUAGCAGUGAAAUGCGUAGAUAUGCGGAGGAACACCAGUGGCGAAGGCGGCUACCUGGACCAACACUGACACUGAGGCACGAAAGCGUGGGGAGCAAACAGGAUUAGAUACCCUGGUAGUC
rnacentral:rRNA from 1 species